UAUUAAAAAAAAGAAAAAAAUUUCCUUUAAAACAUCUUUAUUUCAUUUUCUUUAAAGAACAGAGGGAAAAAAAGGGGGGGGGUUUCUCUGCUAGGUUUUUUCUUAGCACCCCCUCACACGUCGCCGCCAUCAAAGAUCCACCGCCGCCAAGCCGUCCCUUGGCCUCCGACAACGCUCCGACGACACCAGGUACGGGCAUUGUGCGCGGCGUGGAAGGAGAACGUGCGACGGUUAUUGCGACGUGCGUGGGGCGCGGCUGCUGAUUUUUCUGCUAGCUGCUAGGGUUCCUUUCUGCCUCUGUUUUGUAUAUUGGGCUAGCAGAUUAGGGUUAGCAAUUUAGUUUUAGGUUAAUGUAAUUGGGUUAUUGGGUUUAGUAAUAGGCUACAAUUUGGGCUUGUAACAUUUGUAAUUGGGCCACGUAAAUUAAGAUUUUAAAUGGACUGGGGACCUUUGUUUAUUUAA